UACGUAGGGUGCAGGCGUUAAUCGGAAUUACUGGGCGUAAAGCGUGCGCAGGCGGUUUCUUAAGUCAGAUGUGAAAGCCCCGGGCUCAACCUGGGAAUUGCAUUCGAGACUGAAUAGCUAGGGUACGGUAGAGGGAAGUGGAAUUUCCGGUGUAGCGGUGAAAUGCGUAGAUAUCGGAAGGAACAUCAGUGGCGAAAGCGACUUCCUGGACCAGUACCGACGUUCAGGCACGAAAGCGUGGGGAGCAAACAGG
rnacentral:rRNA from 1 species